rnacentral:ncRNA from 1 species
UACCUUUGUCUUGGUAUCGGUUCUCGAUGUUGUCCGCCGUGGCAAUGGAGAUUAAAAGGGAAUCCUGUGAAAAUCAGGGACUAUCCCCGUAGCUGUAAGUUUUAUUUGAGAGGAGUGUACUCACUUUUAAGCCACUGUCCCGAGAGGAUGGGAAGGCUGCACUGCCCGAAACGAGUCAGAAGACCUGCCGCCUACCUUAAAUACAU